rnacentral:rRNA from 1 species
GUUUGAUCCUGGCUCAGGAUGAACGCUGGCGGCGUGCCUAAUACAUGCAAGUCGAACGCUUCACUUCGGUGAAGAGUGGCGAACGGGUGAGUAAUACAUAAGUAACCUGGCAUCUACAGGGGGAUAACUGAUGGAAACGUCAGCUAAGACCGCAUAGGUGUAGAGAUCGCAUGAACUCUAUAUGAAAAGUGCUACGGGACUGGUAGAUGAUGGACUUAUGGCGCAUUAGCUUGUUGGUAGGGUAACGGCCUACCAAGGCGACGAUGCGUAGCCGACCUGAGAGGGUGACCGGCCACACUGGGACUGAGACACGGCCCAGACUCCUACGGGAGGCAGCAGUAGGGAAUUUUCGGCAAUGGGGGAAACCCUGACCGAGCAACGCCGCGUGAAGGAAGAAGUAAUUCGUUAUGUAAACUUCUGUCAUAGAGGAAGAACGGUGGAUAUAGGGAAUGAUAUCCAAGUGACGGUACUCUAUAAGAAAGCCACGGCUAACUACGUGCCAGCAGCCGCGGUAAUACGUAGGUGGCGAGCGUUAUCCGGAAUUAUUGGGCGUAAAGAGGGAGCAGGCGGCACUAAGGGUCUGUGGUGAAAGAUCGAAGCUUAACUUCGGUAAGCCAUGGAAACCGUAGAGCUAGAGUGUGUGAGAGGAUCGUGGAAUUCCAUGUGUAGCGGUGAAAUGCGUAGAUAUAUGGAGGAACACCAGUGGCGAAGGCGACGAUCUGGCGCAUAACUGACGCUCAGUCCCGAAAGCGUGGGGAGCAAAUAGGAUUAGAUACCCUAGUAGUCCACGCCGUAAACG